rnacentral:rRNA from 1 species
AACGAACGCUGGCGGCAGGCCUAACACAUGCAAGUCGAGCGCCCGGAUUUAUCCGGGAGCGGCGCACGGGUGAGUAACGCGUGGGAACAUGCCCCGAGGUACGGAACAACCUGGGGAAACCUUGGCUAAUACCGUAUACGCCCUGAGGGGGAAAGAUUUAUCGCUUUGGGAUUGGCCCGCGUUGGAUUAGCUGGUUGGUGUGGUAACGGCGCACCAAGGCGACGAUCCAUAACUGGUCUGAGAGGAUGACCAGUCACACUGGGACUGAGACACGGCCCAGACUCCUACGGGAGGCAGCAGUGGGGAAUAUUGGACAAUGGGCGAAAGCCUGAUCCAGCCAUGCCGCGUGAGUGAAGAAGGCCUUCGGGUUGUAAAGCUCUUUCAGCGGGGACGAUGAUGACGGUACCCGCAGAAGAAGCCCCGGCUAAUUUCGUGCCAGCCGCCGCGGUAA